AACUUAAGCAUAUCAAUAAGCGGAGGAAAAGAAACUAACAAGGAUUCCCCUAGUAACUGCGAGUGAAGCGGGAAAAGCUCAAAUUUAAAAUCUGGCGGUCUCUGGCCGUCCGAGUUGUAAUCUAGAGAAGUAAUGCCCGUGCUGGACCGUGUAUAAGUCUCCUGGGAUGGAGCGUCAUAGAGGGUGAGAAUCCCGUCUUUGACACGGACUACCAGUGCAUUGUGGUAUGCUCUCAAAGAGUCGAGUUGUUUGGGAAUGCAGCUCAAAAUGGGUGGUAAAUUCCAUCUAAAGCUAAAUAUUGGCGAGAGACCGAUAGCGAACAAGUACCGUGAGGGAAAGAUGAAAAGAACUUUGGAAAGAGAGUUAAACAGUACGUGAAAUUGCUGAAAGGGAAACGCUUGAAGUCAGUCGCGUUGGCCAGGGAUCAGCCUUGCUCUUGCAUGGUGUACUUUCUGGUUGACGGGUCAGCAUCAAUUUUGAUCGCUGGAAAAGGGCCUGGGGAAUGUGGCAGCUUCGGCUGUGUUAUAGCCCUUGGUCGCAUACAGCGGUUGGGAUUGAGGAACUCAGCACGCCGCAAGGCCGGGUUUCGACCACGUUCGUGCUUAGGAUGCUGGCAUAAU
rnacentral:rRNA from 1 species